rnacentral:rRNA from 1 species
AUGGUGAACUGGGUAGAGGUGCUAAGGAAGCACUUCGUAGCCCGUCUGGCAACGAACGCUGGCCUCCGGCAGCAUGCCGUGGCCGUGGACGAGGAGGACGGCACCGUCAUCAACUUCUGGCUGCCCAACCACAACAAGGCAUCGCACAUGAAUCACUGUCAGCACCACCCCUUGGUGCUCGUUCAUGGCUUCGCCGGCGACGGCAUGAUGACAUGGGGGUUCCAGGUGGGCGCCCUUGCCAAGUGCGGCCACGACGUCUAUGUCCCCGACCUGGUCCACUUCGGUGGCUCCACGUCGCGGUCGCCAGACCGCUCCGUGGCGUUCCAGGCGCGAUGCCUCACGGCGGCGCUGCGGAAUCUCGGCGUGGCGGGGCCCUGCACUGUUGUCGGGUUCAGCUACGGCGGAUUCGUGGCUUUCGAGAUGGCCGCGGCGUGCCCAGGCCUCGUCCGCUCCGUUGUCGUCUCCGGCUGCACCGUCACCUACACGGACGCCAUGAAGGACGCCUUGCUGGGGAGGCACGCCGGCGCCCGGUCGAUCACGGAGCUCAUGCUGCCGGAGACGGUGGAACAGCUCAGGUUGCUGUUCUCCUCCGCCAUGCACAUGAAGAUGUGGUUUCCCCGUCGCCUUGUCAAGGACUUCCUCAAGGUGAUGUGUAACAACCGAAAGGAGAGAGCCGAGAUGCUGGACGAUAUGGUGAACAUGAGGGGCAAAGAGGCAUCGGCGCCUGUUUUUCAGCAGAAUAUACUCUUGUUGUGGGGCGAGAAUGACAACUUCUUCCCCGUAAGGAUGGGGAGAGUUUGA